rnacentral:rRNA from 1 species
CAGUCGCCACGGUAAUACGUAGGUGGCAAGCGUUGUCCGGAAUUAUUGGGCGUAAAGGGCUCGCAGGCGGUUUCUUAAGUCUGAUGUGAAAGCCCCCGGCUCAACCGGGGAGGGUCAUUGGAAACUGGGAAACUUGAGUGCAGAAGAGGAGAGUGGAAUUCCACGUGUAGCGGUGAAAUGCGAAGAGAUGUGGAGGAACACCAGUGGCGAAGGCGACUCUCUGGUCUGUAACUGACGCUGAGGAGCGAAAGCGUGGGGAGCGAACAGGAUUAGAUACCCCUGUAGUCCCUGUCUCUUAUAC